CAGCCGCCGCGGGAAUACGUAGGUGGCGAGCGUUGUCCGGAAUUAUUGGGCGUAAAGGGAGCGCAGGCGGACAUAUAAGUCCAUCUUAAAAGUGCGGGGCUCAACCCCGUGAGGGGAUGGAAACUGUAUGCCUUGAGUGCAGGAGAGGAAAGCGGAAUCCCCAGUGUAGCGGUGAAAUGCGUAGAUAUUGGGAGGAACACCAGUGGCGAAGGCGGCUUUCUGGACUGCAACUGACGCUGAGGCUCGAAAGCCAGGGGAGCGAACGGGAUUAGAUACCCGUGUAGUCCCUGUCUCUUAUACA
rnacentral:rRNA from 1 species